UAUACUUUGUAACAUUAGAAAGCUUCAUCCUAAAUAUAUAGUUCUGCUAAUAAGCAUGCUAUUACGUUGUAUGUAAGAUUUUUAUUCUGCAUGGCCCUGCAUAUCUCAAUACAGAGAUGAAAAUUCUUCAUGUGCUUUGUAAGACAGACAAACUGCAGAAAUUCCUGGUUCACUAACUAGAUAGCUGAGUCCUUCAUACUGAUUGGCCACUCCCUUUUCUUUCUUCCCUUUGUUCCUUAUAUCCUAGACAUAUAUUUUAUAAUAUCGGCUUAGAGGAUAAUAGAAAGAAUUAUCUUGGCAUCUUCACCAGCUCUUGCUUUUGAAACAUUAGCUUAUUCAUCAACAUAGUUCCUAGCCUCUGGAACAGCAGUUCUCAACCUGUGGGUUGCAACCUUCUUGAGGGGGUCAAAGGACACUUUCACAAGGGUCACAAAUCAGAUAUCUGGCAUAUCAGAGAUUUACAUUAUGAUUCAUAUCAGUACCAAAAUUAACAGUUAUGAAGGAGCAGUGAAAAUAAUUUUAUGGUUGUGGGUCAUCACAACAUGAGGAACUGUAUUAAAGCGUCACAGCAUUAGAACGGUUGAGCACCACUGAUGUCUGGUAAAUAGUAUAUAUUCAUUAAAUGAACAAAGAAAAUGACCUUAAAUUUUUAUUAUUUUAAGAAAGGUGACACUUGUGAUGGUCGGACUUGAUAAUGCUGGUAAAACAGCCACAGCAAAGGGAAUCCAAGGAGAGCAUCCUGAAGACGUGGCUCCCACUGUUGGAUUUUCUAAAAUUGAUCUGAGACAAGGAAAGUUUGAAGUUACCAUCUUUGACUUAGGAGGUGGAAAAAGAAUUCGGGGAAUUUGGAAGAAUUAUUAUGCUGAAUCCUAUGGGGUAAUAUUUGUUGUGGAUUCCAGUGAUGAAGACAGAAUGGAAGAAACGAAGGAGACUAUGUCAGAAGUGCUAAGACACCCUAGGAUAUCAGGAAAGCCUAUAUUGGUGUUGGCAAAUAAACAAGACAAGGAGGGGGCUUUAGGAGAAGCUGAUGUGAUUGAGUGUCUGUCUCUGGAAAAGCUGGUCAAUGAGCACAAGUGCCUGUGUCAGAUAGAACCUUGUUCAGCAGUCUUGGGAUAUGGAAAGAAAAUCGACAAGUCCAUUAAAAAGGGGCUUUAUUGGCUACUGCAUAUCAUUGCAAAAGAUUUUGAUGCCUUAAGUGAACGCAUCCAGAAAGACACAACUGAACAGCGAGCUCUUGAGGAACAAGAGAAAUGUGAGAGGGCUGAACGAGUAAGGAAGUUACGAGAAGAAAGAGAACAAGAGCAGACGGAACUUGAUGGGACCAGUGGUCUGGCUGAGAUGGACUCAGGACCAGUUCUUACAAAUCCUUUCCAACCCAUAGCAGCUGUCAUCAUUGAGAAUGAAAAGAAACAAGAAAAAGAGAAAAAGAAGAAGAUUGCGGAGAAGGACAGUGAUGUUGGCCACCCAGAACAUAAAGGGGAACAGGAGGGAGCAGAGUCACAGAAUGAGGCAGGUGGCUGCCUCAGGAACCCUCACAGGGAUGUGGUAAAUAGUUAUAAGGAGGCACUGUCACAGCAGCUGGACAACGAGGAUGAGCUAGACCAACGAGUGUCAGAACCAGGUGAUAACAGUAAGAAGAAAACCAAGAAACUAAGAAUGAAAAGGAGUCAUCGGGUAGAACCAGUCAAUACAGACGAGUCUGCUCCUAAGAGUCCCACGCCGCCCCCACCUCCCCCUCCUGUUGGCUGGGGAACCCCCAAAGUCACUAGACUUCCAAAACUUGAGCCUCUUGGUGAAACACGUCAUAAUGAUUUCUAUGGGAAGCCGCUGCCUCCCCUGGCUGUGCGACAAAGACCUAAUGGUGAUGCUCAGGACAUGAUCUCAUAACCAGGUCUGAUGGGUUAGUCUUUUUCAUAUUAGCAAGGUGAACUGAGACCUUUCCCCAAAGCAGAAAAGCCCUGAAUGCUGAUGCCUGGGGCAAGACAACCAUAAUGAUUUCAAGGACGAAAGAAUACCCAAGAACUUGACCUGAUAAUUUACUUCUCCAUGUUAUAUGGUUAAAGCAGAAAGGAAACAAAAUGACCAGUAGCUGACAAGAGCAUCUGGCCAAGUUAGCUAGUCAUGUUAUUGAUUCUUUGGUUUACACAUCCUGACUUUUGGACAUACUCCUGAAGAAACACCUCAGAAGUUGAGCCAGUGGACUCUUCAUACCUGAUUAUUUAAUAAUCUGUAUUUCUAUGCAUUAAACAUGUUUUAUAAGGUACAUGUACAUGAAAGGGGAAUUCCUGGGAAUUUAUAACCUAAAUUUUAACUAUUUUUAUAUUUUUUCUAAAUCUUUUGUUUAAGUUUGCUAUUGUAUUGACUACACACUCUCUACAGAUGCUCUGUUUAAACUGUCCGGAUAGAAAGUUGAUUUACUGAACACAUAUGAAGUAUACAAGAAGGUAUGCUUUGUGAUAACAUUGUUUCUAAAAUGUACACUCUGUCUUGAUGUAAUUUUAAAAUGUUACUAUUUUAAAAAGCAAAAUAUCUGCUCUUUAAUCUACCAAAUUACAUGAUUUGAAAGUGUUACCCAAAGAGAGGAUUCAGUUGUCAUUUGUUUUCCUUGGUGAUGAACUCAAUAAAUGUUAAGACAUCUGAGCUAUUUUUAAGAAAACAACUAAAUUUGUUAAUUGGUAAAAAUGUGUCCUGUGAGAUAUGACUCAAAGUCCUGAUAGAGAGCACUAAGGGACAAGGCAUUUUCUGAGCUCAGGGGCCCUCUCCAUGUUCUGUUAGCAGCUUUAUUGACCGCUUAGGGUUGUUUCCCUUCGUCCAUGCCUUGAAAUUAAAGUAAGAAGACUUAUAAAGGCUCCUGCAGGUCUAGAGACUUCAGGUUUACAACCAGUAUAGUCAUACGAAUGAAAAUGUUGGCUCAAGUCCUUUAAUAAAGAACUAGUUCUAACAUGACUUUUUAAUUUAGAUGACGACACUUGUUCUGCUCUUGAAUGUCAUUCAUAAGGCUUCUCUAUCCAUCUGCCCUUUACCAACCUUGAGAGAUAGUUUGGUAAUGAUUUAUAAUGUAAUAUUCAAUGGAAGGCAUGCCUUUAAGUCAAGGUGACAAUAACAAGGAUCAAGUCUCUUAUCCCCCUGUUAAGAUCAGUACUAUAUACUGGCAAUGGAUAUACUCUGCUUCUGAAUGAAAAGUCCACCUAAGACAGACUGAUCUGAUCAUUUGCCUUUUAAAUGUUUAAAUGUAUUGUGUUCACAGUUUAGCUCUUCUGACCUGGACUAGUCAGCUGACAUGAUGCUACUCAUCACUAGUAGAGUUUCUCUGAGUUUGGGCAUGGUACUACCUCUCACACUGAGGGAUAAAAAAGGUUUAAUUUCUAUGCAAAGCCCAUAUGUAGAAUUAGCAGGUGGCUCAGAUAGCAGAAUCACAAGACAGGACGUAAAUUCUGAACUGGAUUUUAGAGGAAAAAGUGCUCAUCUUCUUGGUUCAUUUUGUAAUAUUUAAAUUCCCUUUUAAAACUGAACUUAUACUUUUGCUAUCUUUUAAUGUUCAUCUAUUUUGAAGAUAUUCUUGCUUCCUACCAGUGUUUACUGUAAAGUACAAUAAUUACCGACUCUAGUUCAUGAUAACCGUUUUGUAAAUCCUGUCAGAUUUUAAUAUUUCAGUGCUUAUUUUUAUAUUAAAAAUAUUAAAAAUUAUUUUAAUUUGAUGCUCAUAGUCAUACAUUGAUAUUUUCUUGGUUCAUUCUGAUACAGUUACCUUAGAAAAGAUGUUUAAUAAAACACAAAAGAUUUUACCUUAACCUUACUAGGGACUAUAGAUUGUACCUGAAAAAAAAAUACAGAAUGGAAAUUCAAUAAAUUAAUUAGGAUUUAAACUGAGUCAACAAAAAA